CAAUAGCGUAUAUUAAAGUUGUUGCAGUUAAAAAGCUCGUAGUUGGAUUUCGGGGCAGCCUGGCUGGUCCGCCGCAAGGCGAGUACUGGUCAGCCGCCCUUCCUCUCGAAAGCCCCGACUGCUCUUUAUUGCAGUGGUCGGGUAGUUCGGGACGUUUACAUUGAAAAAAUUAGAGUGUUCAAGGCAGGCCUACGCCUGAAUACAUUAGCAUGGAAUAAUGGAAGAGGACCUCGGUCCUAUUUUGUUGGUUUCCAGGACCGAAGUAAUGAUUAAGAGGGACAGUUGGGGGCAUUCGUAUUUAAUUGUCAGAGGUGAAAUUCUCGGAUUUAUGAAAGACGAACAACUGCGAAAGCAUUUGCCAAGGAUGUUUUCAUUAA
rnacentral:rRNA from 1 species